rnacentral:rRNA from 1 species
UCUAUGCUUACUUUGGAACUAUAACACUAACUCGAUCUGAUA